UACGUAGGGGGCAAGCGUUGUCCGGAUUUAUUGGGCGUAAAGAGCGUGUAGGCGGCCAUGCAGGUCCGUUGUGAAAACUCGAGGCUCAACCUCGAGACGUCGAUGGAAACCGCAUGGCUAGAGUCCGGAAGAGGAGAGUGGAAUUCCUGGUGUAGCGGUGAAAUGGCGCAGAUAUCAGGAAGAACACCCGUGGCGAAGGCGGCUCUCUGGGACGGUACUGACGCUGAGACGCGAAAGCGUGGGGAGCGAACAGG
rnacentral:rRNA from 1 species